rnacentral:lncRNA from 1 species
UUAUUGCACUUGGUCCAACCAACUAUGUAGCUGGUCCUGGGAGGGAUUUUCUGGGCUUUCUAGAAAACAGAGCCUUAGUCAAAAGUGUACGUGCUCCCAUUUUAUUGAGGAGUAUGACUCCAGAGACACAGGAGUGAGUCGAAAAGGAAUCCCAAAUUAGGUAUGGAAAGAAGAGGAGAAAACACAGGGGAAGUGGAACAGAACUGGCCUUUAUUUGACAGCAAUUGCAACUGAUGCCUUGAUCUCCCAGGAUGUUUUCUAAGAGGCCAUCUAAGUACCUCAUUUCACAUGUAUCUGUUUAUUGGUGAUUGGAAAAGAAAAUAAUUUAUCCUCAGCUUCUUCCUCUUCUCCAUCUUCCAUUGGUCAAAAUCCACCAUGAGCUGUUAACUCCUCCUUUUUCCAAGGUAUGAUAAAUAAAUACCAUGGAAUCCAACAAGACACCCAACAGAUUCUCAUUCUCCAAAAACCUUACUAAAGAAAAAGAGUAGGUUGAAGAAAUUCUAAGAAUGCUGCUAAUGUCCUCCAACUUAGAGAGAGGGUGACUGAGAGCUGAGUAGAAAGACACAGGAAGAUAUUCGAUACUAGAGGUCCCGGAGGAUCUGGAGGAUCCUGGAGGAUCGCACCCCUGGAGGAUCUCAGAAAGACAAAAACAGAUACUGGAACUUACCACCUUCAGAUGGAGAAAAUAGAUAAUAUUAAUGGAAAUAGGUAGUCCCUAGUAGGAGACAUUUGUAGGAUUUCAGUGAGAAAGCCAAACCCAAAUUGUCCAGAACAAGGGUUAUAAUUCUUUAAUCCUUGAACCCUCAGGCUUCAGAAAAGCCGAUAGAACAGACAACCAAGCCGUCAAAAUGUAGCACCUAAAUUAACAAUCAAACAACUCUCCAAAACAAAGGAACUAUAGCAAAGAGAAUUUACCCAUACUAUGUCAUAACAGAAACUUCCAGACAAAGCACUCUGUUAACCAAUAACCGAAUGAAAAUGCAUGCCACGGAAACAAUGGCAACAGACUACAGUUGAAAAAAAAAUUAGCUAGUGAAUAACAUAUGAAGAAUCCAUCAUCAAGAAGACAUAACCCAAAGAACAGAACUUAUUUCCCACAAGUACUUCACAGUAUAAAAGAAUUUAGAAGAAAAUGAAUUCAAUAAAAGAACUCAAAGACAAGAUGAUAAAACAAAUUAGGGAAACUGAAGUGCUAAAGGGGAAAAAAUGAGAAACAAAAGAUUCUAUUAUUAUAGACCUAAUACAUAAAUU